CAAUAGCGUAUAUUAAAGUUGUUGCAGUUAAAAAGCUCGUAGUUGGAUUUCUGGUGGGAGCGAUCGGUCUGGCGCUUAGCGCGAGUACUUGCAUCGUCUCCGGCCAUCCUUGGGGAGAGUCUGUCUGGCAUUAGGUUGUCGGGCAGAGGAUCCUCAUCGUUUACUGUGAAAAAAUUAGAGUGUUCAAAGCAGGCUUAUGCCGUUGAAUAUAUUAGCAUGGAAUAAUAAGAUAGGACUUUGGUACUAUUUUGUUGGUUUGCGCACCAAAGGAAUGAUUAAUAGGGACAGUUGGGGGUAUUCGUAUUCCGUUGUCAGAGGUGAAAUUCUUGGAUUUACGGAAGACGAACUACUGCGAAAGCAUUUACCAAGGAUGUUUUCAUUAA
rnacentral:rRNA from 1 species